UCCCGUUGAUCCUGCGGGAGAUUGCUGCUAUUGGGAUUCGACUAAGCCAUGCAAGUCAGGUAGUAAUACCGGCGACAGGCUCAGUAACACGUCGAUAAUCUGCCCUAAGGUCAGGGAUAACCUCGGGAAACUGAGGGUAAUACCUGAUAGGCAAGCUGCUCUGGAAAGCGCGCUUGCUUAAACUCGAGCCUUAGGAUGAGUCGGCGGCCGAUUAGGCUGUUGGUGGUGUAACGGACCACCAAACCGAUGAUCGGUAGGGGCCAUGAAAGUGGGAGCCCCGAGAAGGACACUGCGACACUGGUCCUAGCCCCACGGGGUGCAGCAGGCGCGAAAAUUUUACAAUGCACGAAAGUGUGAUAAGGGGAUCCCAAGUGCUUGCACACUGUGUAGGCUUUUUUCAAGGGUAAACACCUUGGAGAAUAAGUCUGGGUAAGACUGGUGCCAGCCGCCGCGGUAACACCAGCGCCACGAGUGGCAAUCGUGUAUUUGGCCUAAAGCGUCCGUAGCCGGCUUGGUAAAUCUUUUGUGAAAUCGUUGCGCUCAACGUAACGGCGUGCAGAAGACACUGCUGAGCUUGAGACCGGGAGGAGUCAGAGGUAUUCUAGGGGGAGCGGUAAAAUGCUAUAAUCCCUGGAGGACCACCAGUGGCGAAGGCGUCUGACCAGAACGGAUCUGACGGUGAGGGACGAAAGCCAGGGGAGCGAACCGGAUUAGAUACCCGAGUAGUCCUGGCCGUAAACGCUGUGAGCUAGGUGUUGCCUAUUCUACAGGAAUGGGCAGUGUCGAAACGAAGGUGUUAAGCUCACCGCCUGGGAAGUACGGUCGCAAGACUGAAACUUAAAGGAAUUGGCGGGGGAGCACUACAAGGGGUGCGGCGUGCGGUUUAAUCUAACUCAACGCAGAGAACCUCACCAGCAGCGACAGCAGGAUGAAGGUCAGUCUAAAGGGCUUACCUGACGCGCUGAGAGGUAGUGCAUGGCCGCCGUCAGCUCGUGCCGUAAGGUGUCCUCUUAAGUGAGGCAACGAGCGAGACCUGUGCCUGCAAUUGCUAACAGCCAGUUUCUGGGACUGAGCACAUUGCAGGGACUGCCUUGGAAACAAGGAGGAAGGUGCAGGCUACGGUAGGUCUGUAUGCUCCGAAUCCACUGGGCUACACGCGCGCAACAAUGGCAGCGACAAUGGGAUGCGACCCUGAAAAGGGAAGCUAAUCCUCGAAACGCUGUCCAAGUCCGAAUUGAGGAUUGCAACUCAUCCUCAUGCCGACGGAAUCCCUAGUAAUCAGAGUUCAUCAUACUCUGGUGAAUACGUCCCUGCUCCUUGCACACACCGCCCGUCAAACCAACCGAGCAGUGUUUAGAUGAGACUCGACCUAUUAGUCAUUUCGAAUCUAAGCUCAGUGAGGUGGGUUAAGUCGCCACAAGGUA
rnacentral:rRNA from 1 species